AAUCAGGGUUAUUACAGCUCUUCAGAGCUGAAAUUCAAACCCAUGCUUAUGUACUUAACUGGCCUUGAUGAUAUUAGUCAUAUUGUCUAUGAACGGGCUUAUCUUCAAAGGCGUUAAACUUUUAUAGUUCUCAUUUCUUUGUGUUACAGGUGCUUUGCAUUUCAGAGAAGGCAUACUUGCUCUCCUGUUUAUUCCCCUUCCGUCAGAUGAUGAACUGGGGGUAUGAUGACACUGAAACCAUGUCUGAAAAACAUUUGGAGAUUUUGGGGAGCAAGGUUGAAGAAAACUGGGAAAUAUUACUACUUUAUGUUUACUCUUCCAUAAUUUAUGAUUUUUUUUCAAUACCUCUGCUGUGUUGUCAGUGGUUCCACACACCUUUUUGUGGGAAGACAUGCAGUUCAUGAAAAAAAAAAAAGAGAGAACGUCACUGGAACUGCAACAUAACUGCAGCAGCAUCUGCACUAAUCUAGAAAAUCAUCCACACUUCCAUCAGAGCUUAGUCUUUAUUGGAACUAUGGCUCAUAAUUAGCAACUAUCAGCUGCUGUGAUUACCAGAUAAUUUGAAUUAAAACUGUAUUCAGGUUGAUUUUCAGAUCCUGUGUUUUCAAAUACUUCUUGUGUUGAAAUGGCUAUUCAGACAAGCUUUUGGAAACAAAGCAUUGUACAGCACAAGGUACAGUUCCUUAUGUUCCAAGAAGAUGGAGAGAAGUCAUCAAGCUUCAUGAGGGUGUGCACUUGUCAUAUGUCAGGUACAGCUCCUGAAAGACAACGUCCUGAUCCUGUGCAUUGUCUGAGGGUGACAGUGGGCAACAGAGUGUGUGAGCAGUCUGGCCAGUAAUGGUCCAGCACUCUGACCUGCUUAUCUUACAAGCACAAAAAUUACUUCAGCCUGCAGAAAGUCUUUGGACUCUGUCUUAACUAGCCAAAACUUAACCUGCAAUUAGGAGUCUUGAAUCACUUGGAAAAACAGGUACUCUUUACGUUUGGGUUCAUGUUUCAGUAGGGAGAGAGUACUCCAGACUCCUCACAUUCUGAGUUCAGGGACCUCAAGGGAGAGUAGGAAUUGUACUAGAAGAGCU